CCCAGGAUCACAUCAACAGACGCUGGAAAGCGCUCGACACAGUCCAACCCCCAUGGGUGGUGCAGGCCCUGGACGCCCUCGGGGGAGGAACAGACCUUCACAUGGAAACUGGGGCUGAAGACCCGGGUCUGUGGGCGUCCAGCGGACACGAUCCUCCGCGCAGGGAGAGCAAAAGCUCCCCGAGAGGCGACGGUCAGAUCCUGAAUGGCCCCGCGGAGGCGGGACGCAGGGGAACAGAUUCACAAAGGCUGCGAGGAGACAAUCGAAGCUCGAGAAGGAAGAAGACACUAAAGGCCACACCCAGGGGAGAAAGAGCUGGACAUUCCACAUUCACGCGGAGGAGGGAGCUUGUCCCUGGACACAUAACUGAAAAUCCACAGACUCAUGCGUCCCCGUGAAAUACACCAGAACCUCACAGAAAUGCAGCAAAGUUUGAAUAAAGUUUAUC